AUCCUCCAAGAAACAGCAUCGUUUGUCCCUUUCGUCCUCUCCCAACCUUCUCCUAUGCGCGUUCGCGAUAAUCCGGAGGCAAAGAGAAACCCACCUCGAAUCCGCUUAAGUCUCUCGAGAGGCUGAAGAUACUUGUUGCACAUGGAUGCUAUAUUAUCCAAGAAAGAGGUUUCUCCAGAGCUCAUACGGGAGUCACUGAUGGCAAUCUCUCAAUGUGUUCCAGAUGUGAUCACUACAGAAGGGUCGUCUGUUAACACAGCUAACACUCCUGUUGCUGAUCAAGAUGGCGGUGGUACAGCAGAAGAGUAUCGAUCCAAGCUCAUCUCAAUCUCCAACUUACAAUCACCAAAUGCCCAACCAUCGCCGACCUCAGUGGACAAUCUUGGUGCAUAGAAAGGUUGGAUUCCUGCUUGCAGCUUUCGACGAUUUAAUAUGUGGAAUAGUUUAAUUGCUGAAUGAUGUUGCCGCUGCUAACUUAAUCGGCAAAAUACUCUUGUAACUGUGCAGUUAUCAUUUGGUAAGGAUCUAAAAACAACUUGUGUAACUCAAAACUUGGCUUCUUGUUUGGUUUCUCUCUACUGCAUCGCUCUCCUUAAACAAGUCAAGAAUAUUUUAUCGAACUUCAUAUAAAAGCAUGACAUGUUUGCCACUGAUUUAUGGUUUGCA